CCUACGGGUGGCAGCAGUGAGGAAUAUUGGUCAAUGGACGCAAGUCUGAACCAGCCAAGUAGCGUGCAGGAUGACGGCCCUCCGUGUUGUAAACUGCUUUUAGUUGGGAAUAAAAGGGGGCUCGUGAGCCCCGUAUUGUAUGUACCAUCAGAAAAAGGACCGGCUAAUUCCGUGCCAGCAGCCGCGGUAAUACGGAAGGUCCGGGCGUUAUCCGGAUUUAUUGGGUUUAAAGGGAGCGUAGGCCGGCUUUUAAGUCAGCUGUGAAAGUCCGCGGCUCAACCGUGGAAUUGCAGUUGAAACUGGCGUUCUUGAGUGGGCGAGAAGUAGGCGGAAUGCGUGGUGUAGCGGUGAAAUGCAUAGAUAUGACGCAGAACUCCGAUUGCGAAGGCAGCAUACCGGCGCCCAACUGACGCUGAAGCACGAAAGCGUGGGUAUCGAACAGGAUUAGAUACCCGAGUAGUC
rnacentral:rRNA from 1 species